rnacentral:rRNA from 1 species
CAUUGCGGCCGUGCUUACACAUGCAAGUCGACGAUGAACCGCUUUCGGGCGGGGAUUAGUGGCGAACGGGUGAGUAACACGUGGGCAAUCUGCCCUGCACUCUGGGACAAGCCCUGGAAACGGGGUCUAAUACCGGAUAUGACUGUCCGCCGCAUGGUGGAUGGUGUAA